AAGUCUGACCUGCCCAAUGAAAAAAUUUAAUGGCCGCAGUAUUUUGACUGUGCAAAGGUAGCAUAAUCAUUAGUUUCUUAAUUAGAAACUGGAAUGAAAGGUUGAACGAAAAAAUAACUGUCUCUUAAUAAAUUAUUUAGAAUUUUAUUUUUAAGUUAAAAAGCUUAAAUAUAAUUAAAAGACGAGAAGACCCUAUAGAGUUUUAUAUAAAAUUUUAUAUUUUUUAAGGUUGAAUUUUAUUAAUUUUAUAAAAUUUUAUAAUUAAUUGGGGUGAUUGAAAAAUUUAAUUAACUUUUUUUUUUAGAAACAUUUAUUUAUGAAUAAUUGAUCCAAAAUUUUUGAUUAUAAGAAUAAAUUACCUUAGGGAUAACAGCGUAAUUUCUUUUAAGAGUUCUGAUCGAUAAAGAAGUUUGCGACCUCGAUGUUGGAUUAAAAUUAAUUUUUGGUGUAGAAGCUAAAAUAUUAGGUCUGUUCGACCUUUGAAAUUUUACAUGAUCUGAGUUUAGACCGGUGUAAGCCAGGUCGGUUUCUAUCUUUAAUUAAGAUAAAAUAUUUUAGUACGAAAGGACCAAAUAUUUAUAAAAAUUAU
rnacentral:rRNA from 1 species